rnacentral:rRNA from 1 species
GACGAACGCUGGCGGCGUGCUUAACACAUGCAAGUCGAACGGAAAGGCCCUGCUUUUGUGGGGUGCUCGAGUGGCGAACGGGUGAGUAACACGUGAGUAACCUGCCCUUGACUUUGGGAUAACUUCAGGAAACUGGGGCUAAUACCGGAUAGGAGCUCCUGCUGCAUGGUGGGGGUUGGAAAGUUUCGGCGGUUGGGGAUGGACUUGCGGCUUAUCAGCUUGUUGGUGGGGUAGUGGCUUACCAAGGCUUUGACGGGUAGCCGGCCUGAGAGGGUGACCGGCCAAAUAGGGCGUGAGAAAGGGCCCAGAGAACUGCGGGGGGGAGAGGGGGGAAAAAUGGCAAAAGGGGGGAGGGCGGAAUAAAGAAAGACGGGGGGGGGGAGAAAGUCUUUGGGGUGGUAAACCGCUUUGACUGGGGAAUAGACGUGGGGGAGGGUAAUGGGGAAAAAGGCCCGGGAUAAAAACGG